rnacentral:rRNA from 1 species
GUGGAUCGAAAGGCUUCGGCCUAUUGUGAAACAACGUGAGCCUAACUGUUUAGAGGAUGAAGAAGUCGUAACACGGUAUCCGUAGGUGAACCUGCGGAUGGAUUAUUUAAUAACAAUAACAACGUUGAAAAUAUGAUUCUGAUUACUAAUUCAAUAUUUAAAAGUUAAAAGCGAUAAUGGUGGAUGACUAGACCUUUGAAAUGAUGAAGAACGUGUUAAGAUACGAUAACUCGCGACCAUCAUUGAUUGGAUGUAGACAUUUUGAAUUCUAAGGUAAAUUAGCUUCUGCUGAUUGCAUCGACAAUCUGUGACAAUUUGAUUCAUUAGCAGGAGAUAUUUGUCUGAUAGACAUAUUCCAAUGGACAUAGUCAUAUAUGUAAGUAUCAACUAACCAUCCAUCUUUUUGUCCAGAUCUGUUGAGAGCUACCAGCUGAAUUUAAGCAUAUUAAUAAGCUGAGGAAAAGAAAUCAACUGAGAUUCUUUUAUUAGCGGCGAGCGAAAAAAGAAAAUGCCACAGUGUUAAUCUCAAUUGAGAGUUGUACACUACGGGGUAACAGGCAUCAAGACAGCCUAAACAAUUUGAAUGUUGUUGAAUAAAUGAUGAUACGUCAUUAGGGCUGCCUUUGCUGUUUGUUAAAUUCCUUUUGUUAGAGUAGCGCUUCUUGAGAGUGAAGUGUGAAAGGUGGUGAUCUUCACCGAAGCAUAAAUAUUGUCAAAGGAUCGAUAGCGAACAAGUACCGUGAGGGAAAGUUGAAAAGAUCUCUGAAAGGAGUAUCAAAAGACCUGAAACCAUGAUCGUGGAAGCUAAUUGACACGUAACCGUAGAUGUCUUUUGAGGAAGUCAUUUAUUCACGUUAAGAUUAGACCCGUCUUGAAACACGGACCAAGGAGUUGUUCACUAUUGCGAGCAGAACAGUGAAAAACUGGAAUGCGUAGAGAAAUCAAAGUGAUUUUCAAAACAGACCAAUAAUCUAUUGAGUUAGAGUAGUAGUGAUCAGACCCGAAAGAUGGUGAUCUAUGCUUGAAUAAGGUGAAGUCAGAAGAAAUUCUGAUGGAAGCUUUAAGCGAUACCUGACGUGCAAAUCGUUCGUAAAAUUCGAGUAUAGGGGCGAAAGACUAAUCGAACCAUCUAGUAGCUGGUUCCCUCCGAAGUUUCCCUCAGGAUAGCUGAAAAUAGUAAAGUUGAAACUGGUAAAGACAAUGAUUAGAGGAUCCGGAGGCCUUUUGGCCUUUGACCUAUUCUCAAACUUGAAAUAGUUUCGAAAGUAUUUGACUUAAUUUCGAAUGCUUUAUCAAUUAUAUUUUCAAGUGGGCCAAUUUUGGUAAGCAGAACUGGCGAUGAGGGAUGCUCCUACCGUUUAGCAAAGGUGCCUAAGUAGAUGCAAACGAGAUACCCAAAAGAUGUUACUUCAUUGAGACAGCAGGACGGUGGUCAUGGAAGUCGAAAUCCGCUAAGGAGUGUGUAACAACUCACCUGCCGAAUGAAGCAGCUCUGAAAAUGGAUGGCGCUGAAGCAUCUCACCGAUUCUAAACCAGAUUUCAAAUAUUGAAGUCUGUGUAGGAGGGCGUGAGAAUUGCAAUUACAGUCAUGUGUGAACGUGAUUUGAGCGAUUCUUAGUGCAGAUCUUGGUGGUAGUAAUUAAAGUUGUGUGAAACACACAACGGCCGUGUGGAAUAGGGUUCCGAGAGAACAGUAAUUGUGCUCGGGUGAGUCGGUCCUAAGGCAGGUCAUGUUGAUUCUAAAUCUAUUCGAUUUAUGCCGAAAGGAAUAACGGUUGAUAUUCCGUUACUAAAAACGAUAGUUUGGUGACAAAAAGUGAUUGAUUCUUCAGAUAGUUUGGCAGCAGGCGCUUGCGACGCUUGACAAUGACUUGAAUCUUUUGAAUUGAUUUAGUUAGCGAAAAAGAUAAAAAGUCGGACAUGUUCCAUUCUCAAUGGGAUCUUUCGCCAACCUAUUUGAACCUUGAAAUUUCGAUUACUAUUUGCUAUUGUUGACCUAAACCGCAUCAGGUCUCCAAGGUUAACAGCCUAUGGUUAAGUGGAAUAAAGUAGAUGAGGGAAGUCGGCAAAUUCGAUCUGUAACUUUGGAAAAAGGAUUGGCUCUGGACGUCAGUGAUUUAACUUGUUAAGUCACAAUUAUGACAUAUCCAGAACUGGUGUUGACUAGAGGAAUCUGACUGUUUAAUUAAAACAAAGCAUUGUGUAAAGUUGAAAAACUAUACACGCAAUGUGAUUUCUGCCCAGUGCUCUGAAUGUUAUUGUGAUGAGAUUCGCAUAAGCGCGGGUAAACGGCGGGAGUAACUAUGACUCUCUUAAGGUAGCCAAAUGCCUCGUCGUCUAAUUAAUGACGUGCAUGAAUGGAUCAAUGAGAUUCCUACUGUCCCCAACUACUAUCCAGUGUAAACCACAGCCAAGGSAACGGGCUUGGCAAUACAAGCGAGGGAAAGAAGACCCUGUUGAGCUUGACUCUAGUUUGAUAUKGWAAAACUMCUUGGAAGAUGUAGCAUACGUGGGAGCAUCUAAUGCGACAGKGAAAUACCACGGCUUCUAAUGUGGCUUUGCUCACUCGGAAUUAGUGGAUCUGCUCUGCAGAAACGCGAAACUAAAAGUGUAAACGACAUUGCMCUGAGGACAUUAUCAAAUGGGGAGUUUGGCUGGGGCGGCACAUCUGCUAAACAUCAACGCAGAUGCCCUAAGGUUAACUCAAAGAGAACAGAAAUCUCUUGUAGACCGAAAGGAGAAAAGUUAGCAUUAUACGGAUUUGUAUCAUCAAUAAGAAUUGCGAAAGCAUGGCCUAUCGAUCCUUUAAGCCCAGAAAGAUUCUGGCUAGAGGUGACGGAAAAGUUACCACAGGGAUAACUGGCUUGUGGCAGCCAAGCGUUCAUAGCGACGUUGCUUUUUGAUCCUUCGAUGUCGGCUCUUCCUAUCAUUGAGUUGCAGAAGUCUCAAAGUGUCGGAUUGUUCACCCGUUAAUAGGGAACGUGAGCUGGGUUUAGACCGUCGUGAGACAGGUUAGUUUUAUCCUACUUAUACACGCAUCAAAAGAGUUAAUCAACUUAGUACGAGAGGAACCGUUGAUUCAAACCGCUGGUUAAGCGUUUGACUGUAAAGUCAAAGACGCAAAGCUACGUUUGAUGGAUAAUGACUGAACGCCUCUAAGUCAAAAUCCUAACUUGUGAAAAGAUGUAUUAGUCAGUAAAGGUUCGAUACUAAUAUGAAAGACUUUACGAUUAAAUAUGAUAUCAAAAUACGAUUGAUACUCAAGUAGACGUUGUACAUUUGAGAGCAGUCUUUGAACUGCGAUCAAUUGAGGCUUAAAACUUGAAUUUCAAUUGUCCCUGUGGGGUAUCGUCAAGUGCUUGUGCCUACAUCGCGACGCAAAUGUGUUG